AUUUCCUUGAUUGGCAUGAAUGAUAUAAACGGUUUUGUAUUAUCCAAUCAAAUUGAAGCACACGUGCAUGUGCGUGCAGAAUUGAAAUUUUGACGAUGCCAAACAGUUAAGGAUCCCUUGUUAUACCUACGAUAUAAAUAGCAAACGAUUUCAUUGAAAAAUAAAAAAGUUAGACUGAUUCCAAAGUUGGUAAACAAAAAAUCCAAUGCACGUGCAUGCACAUGCAUGCAUUUUCAGACAAAAUGACAUUCGUUCCGCACAUCUACAUACAUGCCAACUUUCCCGAUUUAGGCGGGAUCUUCCCGAUUUUACCCUCCGGUCCCGCUUUCCCGAUCGGGAAAGCAAAAUUACCCUAAAAUCCCGAUUUGAAAUUUUUUCCGACCAAAAUUUCCGAUUUCACGAUUGAAAACGAGUUUGAAAGCGGGAUAAUCGUGAAAUCUCGUGACCAGAAUUGGAAAUCCCGCGUCAUUUCUGAACUGGCCAAUCAGAAAUCGGGACAAUAGUCAGCUAUUGCUGUUUACCUGUGUCGCAUGGUGUCGGGUUGGUCUGCCUGUGUCGGGGUGUUUAUUGGACAGUACGAAGCAUGUUUUGAUAGUAAUUAAUCGGGAAGACGGAUUUCAAAUUGACCUAUCCUUUACACAAACGUGAAUGACAACGAUGCUAGUGUCACCACCAAACAAUCGGACAUUCCGCCUCUCGCUGACAGCAUCCAAAAUUUGCAAUAAGAUGUCAUGGGUGCAAAGGUUUUGUUCGCAAACUUCAUAGCAGGGCAGAUCACUCCUUUUUUGGUUGCAAUGCAGAUUAUUCCACCAGUCUCUGCAAGCCCAUGUUUACAGACAAGCAAGAUCGCCUUUGCAGUCGUACCUAAAUGCAUGUGCUUUAAUUUAAAUUUUGAUAUAUAGACCGGCCAAUGUUUAUUGUAUGGUGUAAAAGGAUGCAACCUUAAAUAUUAUUUGAUAUUAUGUAUGUGACUUGUUGGAGAAGAUUUUUUGCUGAAUAGAUGAUUUUAAUAAAAUAUUAAUGUAUA